GACGAACGCUGGCGGCGUGCCUAAUACAUGCAAGUAGAACGCUGAAGGAGGAGCUUGCUUCUCUGGAUGAGUUGCGAACGGGUGAGUAACGCGUAGGUAACCUGCCUGGUAGCGGGGGAUAACUAUUGGAAACGAUAGCUAAUACCGCAUAACAGUAGAUAUCGCAUGAUAUCUACUUGAAAGGUUCAAUUGCAUCACUACCAGAUGGACCUGCGUUGUAUUAGCUAGUUGGUGAGGUAACGGCUCACCAAGGCGACGAUACAUAGCCGACCUGAGAGGGUGAUCGGACACACUGGGACUGAGACACGGCCCAGACUCCUACGGGAGGCAGCAGUAGGGAAUCUUCGGCAAUGGACGGAAGUCUGACCGAGCAACGCCGCGUGAGUGAAGAAGGUUUUCGGAUCGUAAAGCUCUGUUGUAAGAGAAGAACGAGUGUGAGAGUGGAAAGUUCACACUGUGACGGUAUCUUACCAGAAAGGGACGGCUAACUACGUG
rnacentral:rRNA from 1 species